rnacentral:rRNA from 1 species
AUGGUAGACAAAACCCACUACACCGAUGGCUCCGAAUUAACAACUUACAAGGAGAAAAAUCAUCUGGUCGGAUUUUGUACUGACAUUGAGAAUUACACUAUCCACAAUCAAACUCCUCAACAUUAUGGUAAAUACGUGCCACUAGUGCAUGUGUUCAACUAUGGUAACUACCAUGGAGAUACCCUGAUAAUCCCAGAGAAUUGUGUGCCUCAUAUGAUGUAUCUGAAAGGUAGUGUUAAUGUUUUGAACAUACAGCCAGGUCGUCCUACGAAUCUCAACUGUCCAUACGAGAUUUCUAAAAGAAGUGGAGAAAUGAAAAUCAAAGUAUGGAAA